CCGUCGCCGCGGUAAUACGUCGGUGGCCAGCGUUGUCCGGAAUUAUUGGGCGUAAAGCGCGCGCCGGCGGAUAGGUCCGUCUGUCUUAAACGUUCGGGGCUUAACCCCGUGAUGGGAUGGAAACUGUCAACCUAGAGUAUCGGAGAGGAAAGUGGAAUUCCUAGUGUAGCGGUGAAAUGCGUAGAUAUUAGGAAGAACACCAGUGGCGAAGGCGACUUUCUGGACGAAAACUGACGCUGAGGCGCGAAAGCCAGGGGAGCGAACGGGAGGAGAUACCCCUGUAGUCCCUGUCUCUUAUACA
rnacentral:rRNA from 1 species